rnacentral:rRNA from 1 species
AAGCGCUCAUGACCAGACUUGGGCCCGGUGAAUCACCCAGCGUUCUCGCUGGGGCACUUUGCCGGGCUCAGGCCAGCAUCAGUUUGCCUUGGGGGAUAAAGACUUCGGGAAUGUGGCUCCUCCGGGAGUGUUAUAGCCCGUUGUGUAAUACCCUGGGGCGGACUGAGGUUCGCGCAUCUUGCAAGGAUGCUGGCGUAAUGGUCAUCAGCGA